rnacentral:rRNA from 1 species
UGCGCAGGCGGUUUGCUAAGACAGGUGUGAAAUCCCCGGGCUUAACCUGGGAACUGCGCUUGUAACUGGCAAGCUGGAGUGUGGCAGAGGGGGGUGGGAAUUCCACGUGUAGCAGUGAAAUGCGUAGAGAUGUGGAGGAACACCGAUGGCGAAGGCAGCCCCCGUGGGCUAACACUGACGCUCAUGCACGAAAGCGUGGGAGCAAACA